rnacentral:rRNA from 1 species
UACGAAGGGGGCUAGCGUUGCUCGGAAUUACUGGGCGUAAAGCGCACGUAGGCGGUUUCUUAAGUCGGGGGUGAAAUCCUGGAGCUCAACUCCAGAACUGCCUUUCGAUACUGGGAAACUUGAGUUCGGGAGAGGUGAGUGGAACUGGCGAGUGUAGAGGUGAAAUUCGUAGAUAUUCGCAAGAACACCAGUGGCGAAGGCGGCUCACUGGCCCGGUACUGACGCUGAGGUGCGAAAGCGUGGGGAGCAAACAGGG